UUGUUGGUAAGGUAAAAGCUUACCAAGGCUUCGAUCAGUAGCUGGUCUGAGAGGACGACCAGCCACACUGGGACUGAGACACGGCCCAGACUCCUACGGGAGGCAGCAGUGGGGAAUUUUGGACAAUGGGGGCAACCCUGAUCCAGCCAUGCCGCGUGAGUGAAGAAGGCCUUCGGGUUGUAAAGCUCUUUCAGCCGGAACGAAACGGUUACGGUUAACACCCGUGACUACUGACGGUACCGGAAGAAGAAGCAUCGGCUAACUACGUGCCAGCAGCCGCGGUAAUACGUAGGGUGCGAGCGUUAAUCGGAAUUACUGGGCGUAAAGCGUGCGCAGGUGGUUUUGUAAGUCAGAUGUGAAAGCCCCGGGCUCAACCUGGGAACUGCGUUUGAAACUACAAGACUAGAGUGUGGCAGAGGGGGGUGGAAUUCCGCGUGUAGCAGUGAAAUGCGUAGAGAUGUGGAGGAACACCGAUGGCGAAGGCAGCCCCCUGGGUCAACACUGACGCUCAGGCACGAAAGCAUGGGGAGCAAACAGGAUUAGAUACCCUGGUAGUCCAUGCCCUAAACGAUGUCAACUAGUUGUCGGGCCUUUACGGGCUUGGUAACGUAGCUAACGCGUGAAGUUGACCGCCUGGGGAGUACGAUCGCAAGAUUAAAACUCAAAUGAAUUGACGGGGACCCGCACAAGCGGUGGAUUAUGUGGAUUAAUUCGAUGCAACGCGAAAAACCUUACCUACCCUUGACAUGUAUCGAAGCCCGCAGAAAAGCGGGGGUGCCCGAAAGGGAACGAUAACACAGGUGCUGCAUGGCUGUCGUCAGCUCGUGUCGUGAGAUGUUGGGUUAAGUCCCGCAACGAGCGCAACCCUUGUCAUUAAUUGCCAUCAUUUAGUUGGGCACUUUAAUGAGACUGCCGG
rnacentral:rRNA from 1 species